rnacentral:misc_RNA from 1 species
CUUCGGGGAGGCCGUCGCGGAGGUGGAAGAGGAGCGAGUCCUCGUCCCAGGAGAACUUCCACCCGCGGCCGUCGGGCCGGCGCUCGCCGCGCACGGGGAGCGUGUUGGCGACAAUGAUGAGGCGGUUGUUGGCAUGCGACGACUGCACGUCGGAGGUGGCGCUGCCCGCUUCCUCCUCGUCGAGCUCCACGAGCGUUCCGGGUGUCGUCAUCGUCCGUUGCGGCGGCCUCGCCCGCGGCGGACGGCCCCCGCCUUCGUCGCCGCCGCCGCCGUAGUCGAGGGCGGAGAGGUUGCCAUUGGCGAGAUCGAUCAGAUUGGUGUAGGAUCGCGAGAACAUGGCGGGCGAUCGGAC